GGGAGUGCUUGCACUCUGCUGACGACCGGCGCACGGGUGCGUAACGCGUAUGCAAUCUACCUCUUACUGAGGGAUAGCCCAUGGAAACGUGGAUUAAUACCUCAUAGUAUUAUAAACUGGCCUCAGUUUAUGAUUAAAGGUUACGGUAAGAGAUGAGCAUGCGUCCUAUUAGCUAGAUGGUAAGGUAACGGCUUACCAUGGCUACGAUAGGUAGGGGUCCUGAGAGGGAGAUCCCCCACACUGGUACUGAGACACGGACCAGACUCCUACGGGAGGCAGCAGUGAGGAAUAUUGGACAAUGGGCGAGAGCCUGAUCCAGCCAUGCCGCGUGCAGGAAGACGGCCCUAUGGGUUGUAAACUGCUUUUACAGAGGAAGAACCCUCCUUACGUGUAAGGAGCUGACGGUACUCUAUGAAUAAGGAUCGGCUAACUCCGUGCCAGCAGCCGCGGUAAUACGGAGGAUCCAAGCGUUAUCCGGAAUCAUUGGGUUUAAAGGGUCCGUAGGCGGGUCUAUAAGUCAGUGGUGAAAGUCUGCAGCUUAACUGUAGAACUGCCAUUGAUACUGUAGACCUUGAAUUAGUAUGAAGUGGUUAGAAUGUGUAGUGUAGCGGUGAAAUGCAUAGAUAUUACACAGAAUACCGAUUGCGAAGGCAGAUCACUAAUACUAUAUUGACGCUGAUGGACGAAAGCGUAGGUAGCGAACAGGAUUAGAUACCCUGGUAGUCUACGCCGUAAACGAUGGUUACUAGCUGUCCGGCCUAAUUGAGGGCUGGGUGGUUAAGCGAAAGUGAUAAGUAACCCACCUGGGGAGUACGUUCGCAAGAAUGAAACUCAAAGGAAUUGACGGGGGCCCGCACAAGCGGUGGAGCAUGUGGUUUAAUUCGAUGAUACGCGAGGAACCUUACCAGGGCUUAAAUGCAGUCUGACGUAUCUGGAAACAGAUAUUUCUUCGGACAGAUUGCAAGGUGCUGCAUGGUUGUCGUCAGCUCGUGCCG
rnacentral:rRNA from 1 species